GUCUACAGCCAUGCCACCCUGAACAAGCCCAAUGUCUGAUCUUGGAAGCUAAACAGGGCUGGGCUUGGUUAGUACUUGGAUGGGAGACCACCUACGAAGAACAGGUGCUGUAGGCA
rnacentral:rRNA from 1 species